rnacentral:rRNA from 1 species
GACGAACGCUGGCGGCGUGCCUAAUACAUGCAAGUCGUGCGGACCUUUUAAAAGCUUGCUUUUAAAAGGUUAGCGGCGGACGGGUGAGUAACACGUGGGCAACCUGCCUGUAAGACUGGGAUAACGCCGGGAAACCGGGGCUAAUACCAGAUCGUUUUUUCCUCCGCAUGGAGGAAAAAGGAAAGGCGGCUUCGGCUGCCACUUACAGAUGGGCCCGCGGCGCAUUAGCUAGUUGGCGGGGUAACGGCCCACCAAGGCAACGAUGCGUAGCCGACCUGAGAGGGGGAGCGGCAACAUGGGAAGUGGGACACGGCCAAACCCCCUAGGGGGGGCAGAAGAGGGGAAUCUCCGGCAAGGGCGGAAAGUCGGAGGGAGAACCGCGGGGGGAGGGAAGAGGGCCGUCGGGUCGAAAACCUCGGUUGCGGGGGAAGAAAAAGGGCCGUGCGAACGGGGCGGCGCCUUGACGGUCCCGGGAAAGAAAGCCACGGAAAACUACGUG